GCAAUAAAUAUUUAAAAUAAAAAGUAAUUAUCUUAUAAAAAAUAGUAGAUUCACUGAUUCAACAAAAUACCCAACUAGCUAGGCAAUAAACAGUUGCUUAAAUAAUCUAAGUACCACAAAACCAAAUUAUAUAAUCCAAAAACCUGAAAUUCUAAAAUCCAUAUCCUAAGAAAAUGCUUAAUUAAAACCUUCAACCUUGUGGUUAUUGACCUUCCAGAAAAAACUCUAUCUGCAAAUCAAAAAAACAUAGACAUAAAUUAAUCAAAUAGUUAUGAAAUUAAAAAAAUGUAUAUAAAGAAAGAAAUGUUUAAAUAAUAAAUUGUGAAUUUUCCAGAACUAUAGCUAUACUAGCAUUAUAGCAACCAAAAUCAAUAUCCAUAGAAUUUAGAGGAUCCGCAUAAUCGGAUUCUGGUUGAAGCUGUAAUAUGAAAAUACACUUCAAGAAAGUCGUCCCAUGUGCAGAGAGAUAUAUUUAUGAAUCCCAAAAUAUGAGAACUAUUAGAGCAAGUUUUAAACUAACCGAGAAGCUUGAGGAAAGGAAAGCAACCCAAGAGCUCCUGCACAAGUGAAGAAGUAAUUAUGUCAGCACUAAAAUAUCAGUGUGAAGUAAUGAGCACCAUUGACGAAAAAUAAUGAACAACUAUUAGUCAAUCAUCAGCAGCACUAAAGUUCUGAUAGUGACAUAGGAACACAAUUGGAGUAUCAUCAUCAAAGCACAUAACAACCAGCAAUAGGUGAAUAAAGAAAACCAAUUUUCAUCUACUUUUGUGGCUAAUAAUCUAACAUUUCCCAAAUAAUUACCUAUAAAUUUUCUAAAUAUAAUGAUAGCUACCUUUUUACUUUUAAUAGCAAAUUUAACCAAACUGUAAGACAAGGAUAUUAUUUUAUUAAUAAUAGAUCUCUGAUAUUCAUAAUAUCUUGUCCAAAGAUUGUAGAAGACAUGGAAAGCCAAAAAAAACUUUUUUAAGUUAAUUAAUCACAAUGGAUAUUUUCAAAGGACCACAAUGGUAGAAAAACUAAGCCAAGAAAAAUGAUCUUAAUAAAUCGUAAUUGCCCUUACUUGUAACAACAAACAAAUUUUAGACAUUCAUGUCCUAAAUUCCUUACUAAACUCACACACAGAACUAAUGAAAAAUUCAUUUCCUUAGUUAAAAAUUCUUAGGAAUCAUAAACUCACAAACAGAGUGCUAGAAUGCUUAUAAUAAUAAUAAUUAGACAGGGUUAGGCUAGAGAAACAUGGAGCAUGUUAACAAGUCUAGACUAAAAACUACAGCCACAACCAUGCUUUUCUUGAUGAUGAAUGUCAUAACAAAAAUACUUCUAAUAUUUAAAAAGUUAAAAUAAGUGCAGCUGCUGUCAAUACCAUGCUAGUCAGCUUAGUUGCAGUGACAACUGCUGAUAUUUCAACCAUGGAAAGCAACAUUUGAAAGCUUAAUUAACGUUUAAAAGUAUUUAUUACUUACAUGAUAUUUUUCUCUAGUAUAUGUUCAUCCCAUUAGCAGCCAUAAUUGCCAUAAGUUUGUUGAUAUUUGCACCUUGAUCAACCAAUUGAGUUUUCAAAUCAGACACUUCAAUCUCAAAUUCAGCCACUUGUGUCUUAAGAUCAUUUACUUGAGAGUUAGACAUUUGUAGCUUUUGUUGUGUAUCUUGAAGUUCCUUUUAGGCUUGUUGGGUAGCUAAAUUAGAUGAUGUGAUGCGCCCGCUUGGAGGUUUUGGACCAUACCCAAGGCCUUUAAUGUAACCAGAUCCAUGGCCAAGAACCUCCAAGACUAUUUCAUAUGUGUUCUUCUCAAAUCCUUCUCCUCUAUAUUGAUGUCACUUUUUUUUCAUCAACUCCUAUUAAAACAAAUGGAUGUAAGAAGGUAUAUACAAUUGAUUACAAUCAUUAACAUAGAAAAGGCUAGAUUUUAAACAAAUAGAUAUGAAAGUUACCCAAUUCUCUUUUGAUACUUUGGAUGAUCAACCCUUUCCCUCUGAAUAAUGCGUACGUUUAUACAAAUCAAUCAUAUCACGAGGAUCUCCAUUUAGCUCCUUUUGAGACUAGGACAGGAAAAAAUGUGCCAAAUACAUUAGAAUUAUUCAUUUAUUAAAGGUUAUUUUUUUUUGCUAAAUUUAAACUAUAUUAAAAGAAAGAAAAAAGAUUACAACCAUAUUUGGCUUGAUUGCCCCAAUUACCUCAUAGCAGUCCCUAGCAUACAGUGUCUCUUCAUAUAACUUCUUUAUUUUACAUUACAAACUAAUUAAGUUUUCGUUAUAUGCAUGUGUGUAUUUAGGAAGUUAUAAAUCAAAAUUCAUGAUUAUAUCUUCAAGUUACAAUAUAGAAUUUACUAGGAUAUUUCCAAAACUGUUAUGACAGUUGUUACUGUCAGCUGCUACUGCCUAAAGGCAGCAGCUCUUACUUCUUAGUUAUUACAAGAAGCAAAUAUAUUUUUACAUUUCAAGGAUCAACAGUCACAAGAAGAAAAUAUAUUUUUUUACAAGCUAAUUAUUUUACAGUACUAGCGACCUGAAACAAUUAUCAAGCUGCAACAUACUAAUGAUGGUGAUAAUAACAUAAACAAAAAUCAAAUUAUAACAAAAACAAAGAACAUAAAGCCACAUAUUAACAAUUAACAUACAGAACUUAUAGGUGGUGCGGAUGUGUACAUGCCAGUUUGCCGCCAGCAUUAUGCCAAUGGACAAGCAGCAAUUGAAGAUGCAAGAGGUGUUUUAGAGUAUCAUCAUAAAGUUCAGAGUGAUCACACUCUUGAGGCAGCUGCAGCUAUUUAGUACAGCCCUGGCUUAUUUUACAUCCCUACUAAACAACCGUUGAACCGGUCUAAUUUGUCAGAUAAUGUUUUUGUUUGAAUUUUGAUGCAAAAGAAUUGGAAGUUAUUACCAAAUUUUUGGCUGAAAUAUGAUAUAAAAGAUUGUGUAUUUGAUUGAGACAUUGUAAGUCUUGUAUUAUGAGUGAUUAAAGUUGUACGACAUCCUAUUCGAUUAGUUAUAUAUUCUUCCUAACAUUGAAAUAGUAGCUGGAAUAUAUUCUCCCUAUACAAAUGAGGAGCACUCUUACUCUUCCACCCUGACUAGAAGCCUAUCCCUUGUGCUUGAAGAGUUCCAUACAAAUUUACGAUCUGUUGGAGUCUCCGCAGUUAAAGGUGAUGGCAUGGAUGCAUUUUUUAAGGCCAUUAAAGAAAGUGCUGAGGAGUACAUGGAAACUUACAAGUUUAUCCUGAAUUCAACUAGUUUCCUCCUAUGGUGUUACUGCAAUCAGAUUGGCUUGCUAUUUCAUUAGCUUGUCUCAUAACUUCCACUAGGAUACUUAAUCAGAGUUCAUUUUCUUGUUUUGUUUAUAUAGGGCUGACCUUGACAAGAGACGGGAAGACAAUAAAUAUUGUUUAUUCUUUCUUAGAUGAUACAAAUUAUUUAUACUGAAAAUUUUCUCAAAGUCAAGAAUAACAUUGUGCCGGAGGAGGUGGGAAAACUAGUGAGGUAUUCUGCCAAAGAGUUGUACAUAAUAUUAAUAAAAAUUAAUAUUUUCUUGUAAGUACUUCAUUUUUAUAGCUUCAACAUAACUCUACAAAAGGUCCAUGAACUAAUACCUUUAUUUUAACCCAACUAGUUUGGGACAAAAUGCGUAAUUUAGUGUAGUUAUCUCACACGAUUAGUAAAUGUACUAUUAAUACCUAUUUUGCAGUGAGCUAGUAUUAGUUACAAUAUCCAAAACAGCACAUAGAGGACUUUUGACAAACACCAUGUAUGCACUGUUUUAAAUCACCAUUCUCAUAUCUCUUUAUUUGUGUUCAAUCCAUUUUAGCCUCCUUGUAUCCCCACACAAGCAACCUAUCUCCUUUAUUCUAUUUCAAUUCAUAGCAGUUCAAUUAUAGCUCAAUUGCAAAAAGUAUAAGAACUUGGUCUCUUACAAAAACAAAUACACAUAUACAUACAUGUGUCUGUAUAUAUGAAUCAUUACAGCAACUAAUGGAAUACGGAUGAAUAAAGUUGUUAGAAAAAAUACCUUCGAAAAAAUUGACGGGUCUUUGGGUCUUCGAAUUUAGGGCUUCUUAAAUUGGGAUAGAGGGAACAAAUUUGAAGAUGCAAAGAUGAAGUUUGGGGUAAAAUUUUGGGAUUAAUGAUAAUCCCUUCACCCGUAGGAAACAUUAUCCGCACAAUCAAAUCUCAAUCUCGCUAAUAGCGGCAAAAUUUGGCAAUACUUUUUUAUUUCUCUCGCCUAAACUAUGGCUAAGGAAUAGAGGGGAAACCAAAUUAGUAGAGACCUUGCAUCUAUCUGGUUGAACCUUCAAUGUUGGAUAAGAAUUGAGCGAAACCAUCUCUAUUGCUUCCCUUUCGCACAACUCUAGACACGCUAAGAAUUGAGCGAAGCCCUCCCUAAUUGAUAUUUAAC
rnacentral:lncRNA from 1 species